rnacentral:sRNA from 1 species
ACCCCACUUCACCCCUACCAGGCCCCUCCAUCCCCCCACCCUGCUUUCCUCAUUUCUACAGGGAACUUACCUGUUUGCCCCCUCUGUGUCUGGGGCCUCACCUCAGUCCUCUUCAGCUCUUGAACUGAACCUACGUCAUUCUCCUGCCUAAAAACUCUGACCUGGGAUCUUCCUUGAAAUGUUUGCUGUCGUUUACUUGGCCUCGACAGGAAUGCUGUCUUCCAACAUAUCUUCAGGACCGUUUUCCCCUCUCACCAAAUUAGCUACAAGAUGGACUUUCUUUGUGAAUGCCCAAUGACCGACUUUUGUGUUUGAGUCAUCUUGCAGUAUCUUCAAUCAGAGGGACAGACUAAAAUCGCCAAGCUGUCAUAAAUUCAGGAUAUAUACAGUUAGAAUUUCAAGCGUUCUUUUGCGUGUGAUUAUACCAUUUGAUUUUGGUGGCGACGCAGUUGAAAAGCCAGAAUCUCUCCUCCCCUGCCUUUGAUGAAGUUGCUGCCACAUGAGGUGUGCCCAUCUGCAGGAAGUGGAGGAAGGACCCCAGCCAGUUAACCAGCAAGCACAUGAUUGACAGCCUCGGACCAAAAGCCUUGAGGAGCGAACCUGGCCAGAGUUCCAUGAGAGAAUCUGGAAAGGGGUUGUUCCCCAAUCAAGCCUUCCAAUUUCAGCCUUGCCAAAGAACCCCCAAGGCAGAGAAUGCAGGGUUCACAGAGCCUGAGACAAGGGACCAAUAAAGUUAAGGUGCCCAUAACACCAGUAGGUGAUUGUUAA